CUUGUAGGCGGUUUGUCGCGUCUGCCGUGAAAUUUCGGGGCUCAACCCCGAACUUGCGGUGGGGUACGGGCAGACUAGAGUGUGGUAGGGGAGACUGGAAUUCCUGGUGUAGCGGUGAAAUGCGCAGAUAUCAGGAGGAACACUGAUGGCGAAGGCAGGUCUCUGGGCCACUACUGACGCUGAGAAGCGAAAGCAGUGGGGGAGCGAACA
rnacentral:rRNA from 1 species